CAAGAAUGCACUCCUCAACCAUGGCUCAAGAGAAAAAUGAUCUCACUCGUAGCCGAUUUGGACAUGCACGCCUUGCUUAUGGAUCACAUCAGCUGACUAACACAAGGGAACAACGUCAUAAUCUGGCUGUGUGGUGAGGCCUGUCAGUGUGGAAGCAUGUGCAGAGGAUAAUACUUCACAUCCGUUCCCAUUGGACAUUGACAAGAGCGC